rnacentral:tRNA from 1 species
GAGAGAGGUGACACACACGAUAAGAGCUGCUAAUUCCUAUAUCUGAGGCUAACUACCCCAGCUCCCUCA